UACGUAGGGACCAAGCGUUGUCCGGAAUCAUUGGGCGUAAAGCGCGCGUAGGUGGCCAUUUAAGUCCGCUGUGAAAGUCAGAGGCUCAACCUUUGAAAGCCGAUGGAUACUGCGGAGCUAGAGUACGGAAGAGGCGAGUGGAAUUCCUGGUGUAGCGGUGGAAUGCGCAGAUAUCAGGAGGAACACCAAUAGCGAAGGCAGCUCGCUGGGACGUUUACUGACACUGAGGCGCGAAAGCGUGGGGAGCGAACAGG
rnacentral:rRNA from 1 species